rnacentral:rRNA from 1 species
UACGUAGGGGGCAAGCGUUGUCCGGAAUCAUUGGGCGUAAAGAGCGUGUAGGCGGCCCGGUAAGUCCGCUGUGAAAGUCAAAGGCUCAACCUUUGAAUGUCAGCGGAUACUGCCGGGCUAGAGUCCGGAAGAGGCGAGUGGAAUUCCUGGUGUAGCGGUGGAAUGCGCAGAUAUCGUUUGGAACGCCAAUGGUGAAAACAGACAGCUGGGAGUGUGCUGACGCUGAGACACGAAAGCCAGGGGAGCGAACGGG